rnacentral:rRNA from 1 species
UUCCGUAGGUGAACCUGCGGAGGGAUCAUUGAAUUAUUAAAACCACAAUGCGAACCUCAACGUUUCGUGCCUUGGCUUGCCAGUGUGGCAUUCGGUAAACCGUAUGGAGCCCACAGCUGAGCGAGCAAUGCUGCCCGCUCAGUGGCGCCUUGGCAUGCUUAUACACCAGUGCUAACCACUGUUAAACCCAAAUACUGAAUUUGUGAUUGCUAGUAAUUGGCAAUCUUAACCAAAGAUAACUCUCAACAACGGAUAUCUUGGCUCUCGCAACGAUGAAGAACGCAGCGAAAUGCGAUACGUAGUGUGAAUUGCAGAAUUCCGUGAACCAUCGAAUCUUUGAACGCAUAUUGCGCUCGAGCCUCCGGGCAAGAGCAUGUCUGCCUCAGCGUCGGUUUACACCCUCACCCCUCCCACUUUGUUGGGUUGUUUGGCAACUUUGCCAGCAUAGGUGGUGGAUCUGGCUUCCCCAAUCUGCCGUCUGGUAGAUUGGGUUGGCUGAAGAAUAGAGGUUUAAGCAAGGACCCGUUAUGGGCUUCAACUGGAUAGGUAGCACCG